rnacentral:rRNA from 1 species
CGGGUUGUAAAGCUCUUUUGUCAGGGAAGAAACGGUGGGAGCUAAUAUCUCCUGCUAAUGACGGUACCUGAAGAAUAAGCACCGGCUAACUACGUGC